rnacentral:rRNA from 1 species
AGCGGCGGACGGGUGAGUAACGCGUGGGUAACCUGCCUCAUACAGGGGGAUAACAGUUAGAAAUGGCUGCUAAUACCGCAUAAGACCACGGUACUGCGUGGUACAGUGGUAAAAACUCCGGUGGUAUGAGAUGGACCCGCGUCUGAUUAGGUAGUUGGUGAGGUAACGGCCCACCAAGCCGACGAUCAGUAGCCGACCUGAGAGGGUGACCGGCCACAUUGGGACUGAGACACGGUCCAG